GGGGAUUUAGCACAGUGGCACUGCACCUGCCUCGUAAGCACAAGGCUGAGUUCAAUCCCCA
rnacentral:tRNA from 1 species